UCCGUUUAUUGUUCUGUAAGUGCUAACUCCCAGCCAAUCUCAGACGUUUCCACACUUUGGCGCUCACUUGGCCUGUCUUUGCUAUGGUCCUUUUGGGCGACAUCUGUCCCCAGGAUGGACCCUAGCGGGGUUGGAGGUGGAGGUGACUGCAAAGGAGACUCUCCCGGGGGAGAUUUUUGCUGUUUAAUCUCUGACCUUCCUCUGGAAGCCAGUGGGAAUGGGAGCCUGCUCCUCUGGUGGGCUUGCAGAAGUCCCAGACCCAGGCUUCUGACUUUCUGUAGGUAGCUCACCUUUGUUCUUCGUUUUAGAUUGUCUGUUCUUUCUGUAACUCCUUUCAAGUGGACUUGGUUACAGAAGAAGCUUUCUUUUUUCUUUCUUUUCAUUUUUUCAACAAUUUUAUUUAUUUUGAGAGAGAGAGAUAGUGAGUGGGGGUAGGGCAGAGAAAGGGAGACAGAAUCCCACGCAGGCUCCAUGAGAUGUCAACGCAGAGCCUGAUGUGGGGCUCGAACUCACAAACCCGGAGAUCAUGACCUGAGCCGAAAUCAAGAGUUGGAGGCUUAACCGACCGAGCCACUGGGGCACCCCACCGAAGGAGCUUUCUUGAAGGAUCAUCAAAGUUUGGAGCUGGAAGGAGUGUUGGAGAACAUCUAGUUAAGUGCUUUGGAAACACACAUGUUUGCUCUCAGAGUGGGUUCAAGGGGAUGCCUGGCUAAUACGGACUCGCUGUGGCCUUUUCUAGCCAUCAGAGAAGGGCAUCCUCUUCUCCUCUACAAGACUGCAAAUGUCACAAGUCGGCAGUCAAGUCUGGGUACAAUUGGAUCAAGGAGUUCGGUUGACACAUCAAAAUUGACACCUCUUCCUCCUAGAUCAAUUGUUUUCCCUGUUGGCUUCACUCUCAGGCAGACUCUCCCCAUGUAGCAGUUCUUGGUUACAUGAACGAAAACAUCCCCUUCUUUUCCUUAAGCCAGUUUGAGUUGGGUUUCUGUCACUUUAAAUAAAGAAAACGUCUUGACUAAUACUCUCUCAACUCUUCAGAGCAUGGCAUGGUGUUGAUAAAUGGAAUGAAUAAAGAAAUGGGACCUGAGGAUGGAGAAACUGAGUCUCAUGAUACUUCAAGCCUCUCUUGCUGAUUGUCCCCCAGG